rnacentral:rRNA from 1 species
GACGAACGCUGGCGGCGUGCUUAACACAUGCAAGUCGAACGGAAAGGCCCUGCUUUUGUGGGGUGCUCGAGUGGCGAACGGGUGAGUAACACGUGAGUAACCUGCCCUUGACUUUGGGAUAACUUCAGGAAACUGGGGCUAAUACCGGAUAGGAGCUCCUGCUGCAUGGUGGGGGUUGGAAAGUUUCGGCGGUUGGGGGAUGGACGUGCGGCUUAUCAGCUUGUUGGUGGGGUAGUGGCUUACCAAGGCUUUGACGGGUAGCCGGCCUGAGAGGGUGACCGGCCACAUUGGGACUGAGAUACGGCCCAGACUCCUACGGGAGGCAGCAGUGGGGAAUAUUGCACAAUGGGCGGAAGCCUGAUGCAGCAACGCCGCGUGCGGGAUGACGGCCUUCGGGUUGUAAACCGCUUUCGCCUGUGACGAAGCGUGAGUGACGGUAAUGGGUAAAGAAGCACCGGCUAACUACGUG